CCGUGGUGUGUGCAUAUAUUCACUAUUUGAGGAAUAUCCAUCCUCCUCAAAUGAUGCACGUUCAUGUUCAGAGAUACCUACAUCAUUCUCAUUAUCAUCACUGUCAGAAUUACCCACAUCAGCCUGAUCAGAGAUACCCACAUCCUGCUCCACGAAUUCGGUGUCUUGACUGUCAAGUAUUUCAUGCUUGAAAAAGAUCUCCAUUUCAUAGUCUCCAUCACUAUUUUUCCUUCCAACACUCAACAGUGUAUCUAUCAUGUAAUUAAUGUC
rnacentral:lncRNA from 1 species